GGCUUGGUAGUCUAGUGACUAUGGCUUCUGAAUCAUAUACAGAAGGUCCUGGGUUCAAUCCCUAGCCCGUCCC
rnacentral:tRNA from 1 species